UCCCAGUACUGUAUUUUCUCCCUUCACCA
rnacentral:piRNA from 1 species